AUGACCUGGAUGAGGUGUAGGCAAAUGGCUCAGAUGAUGAACAGAUUUCCAAACACAUUGAUCAGAAACAUAAGCCAUCUGUUCAAUAAAGACAGAGAAGAGAGAAAUGAAGUGAACAUGAGGAGAAAAAGAUCUAAUAUCUCAGAUGAUCCCUGAGAGACCAUGAGAAAGUAAAGGCAUCCCUGUUCUGCUGGCAUUCCAAUUCUCAUUAUAUCCUCUGAUGUCCAGCAGAAAAUAAGAGAACAAAAACAGUGUUCAAAAGGCAAAAGUACUGACAUCUUUACAUUGUGAAACACAUUAUGAUUGAACUCUUCAAGCACAAAAUGAACAAAAGGAAAACAUGAACAUUUCACAAAAGGAAAUAUAAAAAGUACAACAAAAGUUGGGCUUUUAAAAAAUGUUUAUUUAUUUAUUUUUGAGGAAGAUUAGCCCUGAGUUAACAUCAGCCACCCAUCCUCCUCUUUUUGCUGAGGAAGAUUGGCCCUGAGCUGACAUCCGUGCCCAUCUUCCUCUAUUUUAUGUGGGAUGCCUGCCACAGCAUGGCUUGACAAGUGGUGUGUAGGUCCACACACGGGAUCCAAACCAGUGAAUCUCAGGUUACCAAAGUGCAACAUGUGAACUUAACCACUGCAGCACUGGGCCGGCCCCAAAAGUUGGGCUUUUUAAAUAUCAAAGAGUAGAAGAAUUGUGUUUCCUGGGUCUGUUCCAUAUUUAUUUGACAGUUUUUUUAAAUAUAGUAUGAUAACAUAGGAGGCAAGCCCUCCUAUUUUUCCUUUGUUAUUCUUAGACUUUGGGUUUGAUCUCUUCUUUGACAAGUCCAAUGGGCACACCCUAGUGUUGGUUCUGGUCUUUAUCCAACAUGCAAACUCCUUCCCAGACUGUACUCGUACCCCAGAUCACUUUAUUCAUAUGACUUCUUCUAUGGGGAUACUAUGUCAUACACACAUUUUUUAUUGUACUCUGUACUUUGCCAUAUAAUGAAAUUAGCAAUGGAACAGGGACUUACCUGCAUUGUUCACCUUUGUUUUUCCAAAAGUAUGUGAAUAUACGUGCAGUUAUAUAGAAACAAAUUUAAGCAAGUGAGAAGUUAUGAAAUAAAAAGAAUGGAAAAGAGCA
rnacentral:lncRNA from 1 species